GACGAACGCUGGCGGCGUGCUUAAUACAUGCAAGUCGAACGGAAAGGCCCGGCUUUUGUGGGGUGCUCGAGUGGCGAACGGGUGAGUAACACGUGAGUAACCUGUCCUUGUCUUUGGGAUAACUUCAGGAAACUGGGGCUAAUACCGGAUAGGAGCUCCUGCUGCAUGGUGGUGGUUGGAAAGUUUCGGCGGUUGGGGAUGGACUCGCAGCUUAUCAGCUUGUUGGUGGGGUAGUGGCUUACCAAGGCUUUGACGGGUAGCCGGCCUGGGAGGGUGACCGGGCACAUUGGGACUGCGAUAGGGCCCAGAGUCCUACGGGAGGCAGCGGUGGGAAAUAUUGCACAAUAGGCGGAAGCCUGAUGCAGCAACGCCGCGUGCGGGAUGACGGCCUUCGGGUUAUAAACCGCUUUCGACUGUGACGAAGCGUGAGUGACGGUAAUGGGUAAAAAAGCACCGGCUAACUACGUG
rnacentral:rRNA from 1 species